rnacentral:rRNA from 1 species
GUGCCAGCCGCCGCGGUAAUACGGAGGGUGCAAGCGUUAUCCGGAAUUACUGGGUUUAAAGGGUGCGUAGGCGGCCUGUCAAGUCAGGGGUGAAAUGUCGUCGCUUAACGAUGAAAUUGCCUUUGAUACUGUCGGGCUUGAAACAGGUUGAGGUUGGCGGAAUGUGGCAUGUAGCGGUGAAAUGCAUAGAUAUGCCAUAGAACACCGAUUGCGAAGGCAGCUGGCUGGACCUGGAUUGACGCUGAGGCACGAAAGCGUGGGGAGCAAACAGGAUUAGAUACCCUCGUAGUCC